AAGGUUAUAUGAUCCAGUAAAGGAAG
rnacentral:rRNA from 1 species